UGGAACGAUACAGAGAAGAUUAGC
rnacentral:piRNA from 7 species